UACGUAGGGGGCAAGCGUUGUCCGGAUUUAUUGGGCGUAAAGAGCGUGUAGGCGGUUUGGUAGGUCCGUUGUGAAAACUCGAGGCUCAACCUCGAGACGCCGAUGGAAACCAUCAGACUAGAGUCCGGAAGAGGAGAGUGGAAUUCCUGGUGUAGCGGUGAAAUGCGCAGAUAUCAGGAAGAACACCGGUGGCGAAGGCGGUGGGCUGGGCCGGCACUGACGCUGAGGAGCGAAAGCGUGGGGAGCGAACAGG
rnacentral:rRNA from 1 species